rnacentral:tRNA from 1 species
UUUCUGGUGGUCCAGUAGCUAAGACUCUGCAUUCCCAAUGCAGGGGUCUCAGGUUCGAUCCCUGGUCAGUGAC